rnacentral:sRNA from 1 species
CCGGGCGUCGGGGUAGCGGUGGGGGUCGUCUCCGAACUCGGCGAGUACCCGGGCGGCGAGGAUCGGCCCGAGGCCAGGCUGG